UNAUGGACGAGAGUCUGAACCAGCCAAGUAGCGUGAAGGAUGACUGCCCUCUGGGUUGUAAACUUCUUUUAUACGGGAAUAAAGUGAGGCACGNGUGCCUUUUUGUAUGUACCGUAUGAAUAAGGAUCGGCUAACUCCGUGCCAGCAGCCGCGGUAAUACGGAGGAUCCGAGCGUUAUCCGGAUUUAUUGGGUUUAAAGGGAGCGUAGNNGGANGNUUAAGUCAGUUGUGAAAGUUUGCGGCUCAACCGUAAAAUUGCAGUUGAUACUGGAUAUCUUGAGUGCAGUUGAGGCAGGCGGAAUUCGUGGUGUAGCGGUGAAAUGCUUAGAUAUCACGAAGAACUCCGAUUGCGAAGGCAGCCUGCUAAGCUGCAACUGACAUUGAGGCUCGAAAGUGUGGGUAUCAAACAGGAUUAGAUACCCUGGUAGUCCAAGGGCGAAUUC
rnacentral:rRNA from 1 species